CCUGGCCAGAGGAAAGAAAAGCAUCUUUUACUUUUACUUCUAGUUCAGAAAAAGGUAAGCAGCCAUUUAUAUGCUUCAGGUUUUACCCAGCGUAGCUGGCUGUACCGCUAAGAAUCAAAGCCUUGCGGUGGAACAUGACUGACAAGUAGGUGAGCACUGAAAGGUCUCUAGAAGCCUAAUGAUCUGGAUGCUAAGGAACCUUCUCCAUUGAUGACUCUUCAUAGCUGCUAGUGAGUAAUAAUAAAUAAAUCUGUCAAACAUUGAUUGCAGGUUUUGCUGUGAGAUAUGAACAGACCAGGUGGCCAUUCCUACCAGGGAGAAGUGAGGCUAAGUGGCGUGGCUGUCCCGGGCAAGGAGGUAAGAAAUACCAGUCUCCAAACAUCCAUGUGUACAUGAAGUGGUGUGGAUUUUGCUUUCAGGGAGAAAAACUGUGGAUGACCUUACUUGUCAUGGGGAGAGUGUCAAAAGCAGACUCGGGACAAAUCUGAAUCAAGUCAGCAGACCACCAGACAUGGAGAUGAGAGAAAUGCAGCCGAUUUGAACGUUGAGGGUGUGAAAACUUCAGGAAGUUGCUAGAAGAUCUGGGAUAUCUACAGAAAGGAAACAAGCAAAACUCAUCACUGCUACCAAGAGGUAAGGAACUCACCUUAGAAUGGAAAAAUUGAUGGAUCUGGUUUCCCUUCAGGUGAAAGAAAUGCAGCUGUCCGUCAGAAGUAGGAACAGUUUCUCUUGCUAUCAAGAGGUAAGGAAUGCACCUUCUCCUAGCAAUGGAGUGGAAACUAACCAAUCUGAGUGUACUUUCAGGUGAAGGAAGUGAAUCUAUCCUUUGCUGUCAAAGGCUACAAGCAGUUUCAUAAGAAUAAAGCAAGAUACAUAACCAAAGCUUCUGAGGUUACAGAAGUAUUGACUUGUUCCAAUCAAGAAUAAGGAAACCACUUAUACCUACUAGAUUUUUAGCAGUACAGCUGAUCGUAUGGAGAGAAAGAGAGAAACCAAUCCAGCAAUUCAUCACGCAGAAGGAGGUCAUAUUUCGAGAUGCAAGGAUGACACAUGGCUGUAGUUUACAGGAAGGAAUUAGCGGAUCCAUCCUUUUAAGGAGAUGUCAAGAACUAAGUGGAACUGAUCAUUUCUAUCGAGAGGUAAGGAACGCACCUCCUCACAGCACGGGGGCAGGAAUUAAAGGCUCUGUUUCUAUUUUCAGGUGAAAGGAAGGUCUUACCAUUCAAGGGAGGAUGAUAAGAGGCUGCUGAAUUUAAGGAAAAAAGACAGAUGAGAGAAAUGCAGCCGAUUUGAACGUUGAGGGUGUGAAAACUUCAGGAAGUUGCUAGAAGAUCUGGGAUAUCUACAGAAAGGAAACAAGCAAAAUUCAUCACUGCUACCAAGAGGAGGAGAGUUACAGAUGCUCAGGAUUUGAGUAAAAAGGAACAGGGACGGAGCUGAACAGAUCCAACACCUUAAAGGACGAUUGGAUCUCAAAAUAUGAAAGACCCUUCAUUCAAUAAAGCAACAGGAUUGGCUCUGAGGAGCGGUAAGCAACAUUUGAUGAAGGAAACAGGCAGCGUGGACAGUAUUCAAGACACAAUGUUUAAAAGUUGCUGCUGGGAUGGAAGCAAAGAAGAAAGCCCUGGAGACGGGUUAGUGCUGGGACACAGGCACUAUCCUGGAGGGGUCUGGGACAGGGUGUGUAACCAUAGCGACCAGUGGGUCCUUUCCCCACUGUGGUCCUGGCUCGCAUGCACAGGGUGAAACCGAUCGCCAUGUUUGGGGUCAGGAAGGAAUUUUCCUCCAGGGCAGAUUGGCCAGAGACCCUGGAGGUUUUUCGCCUUCCUCUGGGGCAUCGAGCAGGGACCAGCCCUUAGGGCCAUUUAGGAACAGACACAAUAAAAUCCAUCAGAGAGAACUUGUCUCCCUUUGUUUUUUGAA